UAUUUCAAAUUUCUUUCCCCUUUUUCUUCUCCAUCGGUUUACUCUGCCUCUCAUCUCCCCUUCUCUUCUUCGUCUUCCUCAAACCCUGCGAUUUCCUAUCUCUCAAAUUCCGUUUCGCUCUUCCUAUACCUCCAAAAUUUCGCUCUUCCUCUCUAACGUGAAGCAGCCAAGAAACUCUAUCUUGCGACAUACCCAUCUCGUCGAUCCACCACUUUCUUCUUCUUCUAGCCUUAACGGUGCCGAAAUCAAGGGCCGCAGACCCCCUCGGAAACCCAAGUCUUCCAAAGAAAAUUCUCCACCCUCAGAUCGGUUUUCGAUUCCAAAUCCUGAAGAGCCCGCUUCCACCUAGGCCUCCCUCUUCUAACCCGACCGUUCCUGAGAGUUCGCUAUCACAUACUGCUUUUUUUACCUGUGUUGUUGAAUCCCGAUCCAAGAGACUGGCAGAUGGUUUAAGUAGCUGGUUCCGGAGGCAGAAGCUAACAGGUGCAGCUGGGGAGCGCUUGAAGGAAGCACGCAAUAUCAACCGACCACUCUCACAACUCGGAUCGGAAUGAUGUUGCUCAUCUGAAAGAAGGCAACAUCAUGUGCUUGAAGACUUGUAGAGUAUGGAGAGUGAAUGGUCAAAUUUGAGGAAUCGUAUCUGCUGGCUUUGUAGUCCAAACAGGAACAAGGAUGAAUAAUCAAUGAAAAAUGAACGAAAAGGUUUAUCCAUGCAAGCUUCAAACCAAAGUCAAGGAUGUCGAUCCUUCCAGGGGAGUCCAAAGUUCCAAGAUUGUUUAUCCAUGCAUCAUUUUGUCGAUCUACUAAGAUUAAAUUGUCUCGUUGUAGUUGCAAGACUGGAACAAUAGACGGCAGUUUACACCACCCAGUGACUUCCAUGCUGACGUGAUGAAUGAUUAUUUCAUUUCUCAGGCAGUGAUAGAAAAUACCAGAGCAAAUGAUAUACACAAGCGAGUUCCCUUUUUAGUACCGUUUACUAGCAGGGUUAAGAUUUUCACUACACAACUAGCAGCAGCUAGGCAAAGGAAUGGAUCUCUUGCUGUUUUUGCCAGAAACCGGUUUAGAAUUCGACGAAAUCAUAUAUUGGAAGAUGCUUUCAGUCAGAUGAGUGCAUUGUCUGAAGGUGAUCUUCGAGGAUCGAUACGUGUGUCUUUUGUUAAUGAAUUUGGAGUUGAGGAGGCAGGAAUUGAUGGUGGUGGUAUUUUUAAAGAUGUCAUGGAGAACAUUACACGGGCAGCCUUUGACGUGCAGUAUGGUUUAUUUAAGCAAAUUGCUGACCAUUUGCUCUACCCCAAUCCUGGUUCGGGAAUGAUACAUGAGCAACAUCUCCAGUUUUUCCAUUUCCUCGAAGUUCUUUUGGCAAAGGUCAUGUUUGAAGGAAUUCUUGUUGAUAUACUUUUUGCAACAUUCUUCUUGAGCAAGUUAAAACAGAACUUUCAAUAUCAGGUUCACUGGACAGCUUGGAUGUUGAUGACCUACGGACACAUACUACUUAUUCAAGUGGUUAUCAUAGGGAGCAUUAUGUCAUUGAGAUGUUUUGGGAAGUUAUCAAAAGUUUCUCAGUGGAAAACCAAAAGAAAUUUCUGAAAGACUGGCAGAUGGUUUAAGUAGCUUUAAAACAAGUAGAAUAAAUCUUAUUGAUUUACCUGGUUCCGGAGGCAGAAGCUAACAGGUGCAGCUGGGGAGCGCUUGAAGGAAGCACGCAAUAUCAACCGAUCACUCUCACAACUCGGAUCGGAAUGAUGUUGCUCAUCUGAAAGAAGGCAGCAUCAUGUGCUUGAAGACUUGUA